AGUGAACGCUGGCGGUAGGCCUAACACAUGCGAGUCGAACGGCAGCACAGUAAGAGCUUGCUCUUACGGGUGGCGAGUGGCGGACGGGUGAGGAAUACAUCGGAAUCUACUUUUUCGUGGGGGAUAACGUAGGGAAACUUACGCUAAUACCGCAUACGACCUACGGGUGAAAGCAGGGGAUCUUCGGACCUUGCGCGAUUGAAUGAGCCGAUGUCGGAUUAGCUAGUUGGCGGGGUAAAGGCCCACCAAGGCGACGAUCCGUAGCUGGUCUGAGAGGAUGAUCAGCCACUCUGGAACUGAGACACGGUCCAGACUCCUACGGGAGGCAGCAGUGGGGAAUAUUGGACAAUGGGCGCAAGCCUGAUCCAGCCAUACCGCGUGGGUGAAGAAGGCCUUCGGGUUGUAAAGCCCUUUUGUUGGGAAAGAAAAGCAGCAGGUUAAUACCCCGCUGUUCUGACGGUACCCAAAGAAUAAGCACCGGCUAACUUCGUG
rnacentral:rRNA from 1 species